rnacentral:rRNA from 1 species
GAUGAACGCUGGCGGCGUGCUUAACACAUGCAAGUCGAACGGAGUUACUUUGACAGAUCCCUUCGGGGUGACGUUGAUUUAACUUAGUGGCGGACGGGUGAGUAACGCGUGAGCAACCUGCCUUUCAGAGGGGGACAACAGUUGGAAACGACUGCUAAUACCGCAUAAUGCAACGGAGCCGCAUGACUCUGUUGCCAAAGAUUUAUCGCUGAAAGAUGGGCUCGCGUCUGAUUAGAUAGUUGGUGGGUAACGGCCUACCAAGUCGACGAUCAGUAGCCGACCUGAGAGGGUGAUCGGCCACAUUGGGACUGAGACACGGCCCAGACUCCUACGGGAGGCAGCAGUGGGGAAUAUUGGGCAAUGGGCGCAAGCCUGACCCAGCAACGCCGCGUGAGGGAAGAAGUUUCGGAUUGUAAAACCUCUGUCCUAAGGUGAAGAGUAGAAAGACGGUAGCCUAGGAGGAAGCUCCGGCUAACACGUG